CAUAGCGACUAUCGUGGCAUAUCAAUAAGCGGAGGAAAAGAAACUAACAAGGGAUUCCCUUAGUAACGGCGAGUGAAGCGGGGAAGAGCUCAAAUUUGAAAUCUUCAAGGUUCUACCUUGACGAAUUGUAGUUUAUAGAAGUGUUUUCUGUUAGUGAAGUUGGCUAAAAGUUCUUUGGAAUAGGACAUCAUAGAGGGUGAGAAUCCCGUAUUUGGUACCAUUCCUCCUAGCUGUUGUGAUACACUUUCAACGAGUCGGAUUGUUUGGGAAUGCAGUCCAAAAUGGGUGGUAAAUUUCAUCUAAAGCUAAAUAUUGGCGAGAGACCGAUAGCGAACAAGUACCGUGAGGGAAAGAUGAAAAGAACUUUGAAAAGAGAGUUAAACAGUACGUGAAAUUGUCAAAAGGGAAGCGUUUGACACCAGUGUUGUUUUUCCGAGAAUCAAUUACUAAUGGAUUUGUUUUGAGGAGUGUAUGACUUCAUCGGCUUGCUCCGUUUCUUUACUGACUUUCGUGAAUGCACUUUUCGGUUAACAAGUCAACAUCAAUUUCUUUUGUUGUAAAAGGGUAUGAGGAAGGUGGCUUUCUUUUCGGAGAAAGUGUUUAUAGCCUUGUGCCUCUACAAUCGGAGAGAUUGAGGUCUGCAGCGUAGAUCCUUCGGGGUUAGAUACGUUUGUGCUAAGUUAUAGCUUGUCAUAGACAACUUGUUGACUAUGUUCAGUCAUUGUAGCUUACUCGCUGACUGCUAUUUUACCUACGCUUAGGAUGUUGAUAGUCACAGCGUGUAC
rnacentral:rRNA from 1 species